UACGGAGGGAGCGAGCGUUGUUCGGAAUUACUGGGCGUAAAGGGCGCGCAGGCGGUUUGGUAAGUCAGAUGUGAAAUUCACCGGCUCAACCGGUCGAACUGCAUCCGAUACUGCCAGGCUUGAGAUCAGUAGAGGAGAGUGGAAUUCCCAGUGUAGCGGUGGAAUGCGUAGAUAUUGGGAAGAACACCGGUGGCGAAGGCGGCUCUCUGGACUGAUUCUGACGCUGAGGCGCGAAAGCUAGGGGAGCGAA
rnacentral:rRNA from 1 species